UACGUAGGGUGCGAGCGUUGUCCGGAUUUAUUGGGCGUAAAGAGCUCGUAGGCGGUUUGUCGCGUCGGCCGUGAAAUCUCCACGCUUAACGUGGAGCGUGCGGUCGAUACGGGCGGACUUGAGUUCGGUAGGGGAGACUGGAAUUCCUGGUGUAGCGGUGAAAUGCGCAGAUAUCAGGAGGAACACCGGUGGCGAAGGCGGGUGUCUGGGCCGAGACUGACGCUGAGGAGCGAAAGCGUGGGGAGCGAACAGG
rnacentral:rRNA from 1 species